GGAGAGGGUAAGGACUCAGGCCAGCCCAGGUGUCUCCCGGGUAUCCUUUCAGACCUUGGCCCCUGCUUCGGAGCUGUGUGGCCUGGGGCUCCAAUCCCAGCGCUGCCACUUACCCUCCAUUUCCUUGUCUUCGAAAUGACCUCAUGAAAACUCACCACCCAGAGCUGAUAGGAGGCCCAGAGAGGUGAUGCGUGGAAGAGAGCACAAUACAGCCAUAGGCUGAGGGGUGGUUCUGGGCAGUGAGUCCUCCCAACAUCCAGUACAUGGUCGGAGGGACCCCUCCCUCCCCAGGCAUCUGAAGUUCCUGACCUGACCCUACCAGGUAUCUGGCCUUUUCCUGUACCUUGGAUAUGUUCGGCUUGCUGUUUGUGAUAAUAAUAAUAAAAGCUCCCAUCAUCCUGGCUUUGGUUGUGUGACAUGCAUUUGUUCCUUACAGCCAGUUUGUGAAGCAGAAACCAAGGUGGUACUCAUUUCACAGAGGAGAGGACUGAAGGCCACUCAAGUAUGUGCACACAUGCACUUGGGCACUGGUAUAAACACAGCACAUGCAUGAACUGCCCCCAGCUGUCCUCCCCAGGCGUGUGCCUACCGAUCCACAGAGAUUCUCACAUAUGCACGCAUGUGCAUAGUGACCAGAGCUCACCGGGACCUGAGCAGCGAGGCCCAGCAACACACAUGUGUACAAACACACACAUACCCUGCUGACUAUACCUGACACACACAUAUGCACCCUUACCCAGAGACUGCCUGUUGCAAACCCAGACCUGCACUAAGGGACUACAGCAAAACACAUGCUGGUACACACACACACACACACACACUCACACCUGCGUGCACACCCACACACCUGCAUGCACACCCACAGGCACCCACCCCCUGCCUCCCAGAGGCUCCAUCUGUAGCCGGGAGGCUUCUCCCUGGGGCACAUCCUGAGAUGCAGCCUAUUUUUAGAGCUAUUGCCGGCUGGUGCUUCUCCCUGUCUUUUCGCUUCUUAAGUUUUCCUGAGAAAAUAGCAGCAGGUGCCAACGGAGCUGUGUCCCCAGUGGAUGACUCAGAUCGAGGUCCAGACUCACUGGGUUAUUUUUUGAAGUCUUAAUGAGGAGCUAUUUUCCAGGUCACACCAGGAGGAUGGUGUGGGCCACGCCUCACGCCGGGACGUGUUCAGACACCCUGCUCCAUGGAGAUACCCAGACACAUACGUGGGCACCCCAAUGAUCCAUUCCCUCCUGUACCUGCCAACAGUUCCCCUCUCCUCGGCCCUGAACCCCAGUUCCCCAGGAAGACUUGUGGAGAUGAAUUGACAACUUUCAAGGUGUGGACAGGGGACUCAUGAUAGAGAUGCAAGAGUGGCCCCAAGACCAACAAAUGAGAGAGAGGGUAACGUUGCCAAGGCCCC